AACAAGGCGUACCUGCGGACCUGCGGAAGGAUCAUUACAAGUGACCCCGGUCUAACCACCGGGAUGUUCAUAACCCUUUGUUGUCCGACUCUGUUGCCUCCGGGGCGACCCUGCCUUCGGGCGGGGGCUCCGGGUGGACACUUCAAACUCUUGCGUAACUUUGCAGUCUGAGUAAACUUAAUUAAUAAAUUAAAACUUUUAACAAUGGAUCU
rnacentral:misc_RNA from 1 species